rnacentral:rRNA from 1 species
UACGGGGGGGGGUAAGCGUUGUUCGGAAUUACUGGGCGUAAAGGGCUCGUAGGCGGCCAACUAAGUCAGACGUGAAAUCCCUCAGCUUAACUGGGGACUGCGUCUGAUACUGGAUGGCUUGAGUUCGGGAGAGGGAUGCGGAAUUCCAGGUGUAGCGGUGAAAUGCGUAGAUAUCUGGAGGAACACCGGUGGCGAAGGCGGCAUCCUGGACCGAUACUGACACUGAGGAGCGAAAGCCAGGGGAGCAAACGGG